UGAGAUGGUUUUUUUUCCCAAGUAUUCCCUCUGUUGAACCAGGCGCUUGGUGGAAUGCAGCCAAACAUGGACACACAUCCACGAGGCAUGAACCCAACCACUUACAUGGAUCGCUAAGGGACCGUGGGCAGAAGAAUGCCAGCCCUUCUACCAUGUCAGAGGAGUCCUGAGGAACUGGAAUUAAGAUUCUCUCUCGAAAGAAUUAUGAAACAAAUAUGUAAAACUGGAGAGGAGGAGGAAGCUGAUGAAAUCUGUUGUGUGAGCCACUUCCAAGAUGUCAACUUACAUAAAUUAAGUAUUUUUCUGUU